GACGGAGGGUGCAAGCGUUGCUCGGAAUAAUUGGGCAUAAAGAGUGGGUAGGUGGUUUGAUAGGUCUGAGGUGAAAGCCUUGAGCUUAACUCAAGAAGAGCUUCAGAAACGGUUAGACUAGAGUGCUCGAGAGGGUCGUGGAAUUCCCGGUGGAGCGGUGAAAUGCGUAGAUAUCGGGAGGAACACCGGUGGCGAAGGCGGCUUUCUGGACGACAACUGACGCUGAGACGCGAAAGCGUGGGGAGCAAACAGG
rnacentral:rRNA from 1 species